rnacentral:ncRNA from 2 species
CUCUUAUAAAGAGUGGUGGAGGGAAGUGCCCUAUGAAGCCCGGCAACCGUCACAUAUGUGAAAUGGUGCCAAGUCACUCAAAGCGAAUUGCUUUGACAGAUGAGAG